rnacentral:lncRNA from 1 species
CAGUGACGAAAACGUAACCAGUCUGUUCCGGGUACGUGAGGUCUGCAGCCUCUGCGUUAAAAGGACUCACAUGUCAAGUACAGAACUAAGCCAACCUCGGCGUGAGCUUUGGUUGCGAAUGGUAUGAACUUUGAACCCUUAUUCACUACAGAAGUGAUAAUUCCUAGCCGUUGAGUUAGCAGCGGCCGCUGUAGACGUGGGCUAGGAAAGGACGGACAACGGAUCUAAUCUAACACACAACGAAGAUACUACAACGUAUCCAUUUUACCACCAGUGACAUUCUUCCGAGGACAGGAAGAUCUCUGUUGGCCGACAUGGCCAGCAUCUACGACCAACCUACUGAAGCGCAGCUCAGAGACCUGAGCCCUAGGACCACGCCUCAGGACUACCUGGCCUGAUGACUCCUUGCUGUCCCUAGUCCACCUGGCCGUGCUGCUGCUCCAGUUUCAAAUGUUCUGCCUGCGGCUAUGGAACCCUGACCGUGCUACCUGUCCCAGACCUGCUGUUUUCAACUCUCUAGAGACAGCAGGAGCGGUAGAGAUACUCUCAAUGAUCGGCUAUGAAAAGCCAACUGACAUUUACUCCUGAGGUGUUGACUUGUUGCACCCUCGACAACUGUGAUUAUUAUUAUUUGACCAUGCUGGUCAUUUAUGAACAUUUGAACAUCUUGGCCAUGUUCUGUUAUAAUCUCCACCUGGCACAACCAGAAGAGGACUGGCCACCCCUCAUAGCCUGGUUCCUCUCUAGGUAUUUUCCUAGGUUCUGGCCUUACUAGGGAGUUUUCCCUAGCCACCGUGCUUCUACACCUGCAUUGCUUGCUGUUUGGGGUUUUCGGCUGGGUUUCUGUACAGCACUUUGAGAUAUCAGCUGAUGUAAGAAGGGCUUUAUAAAUACAUUUGAUUUGAUUUGAUUUGAAAACCCUUUUGCAAUUAUGCUAGCACAGCUGAAAACUGUUGUUCUGAUUAAAGAAGCAAUAAAACUGGCCUUCUUUAGUCUAGUUGAGUAUCUGGAGCAGCAGCAUUUGUGGGUUCGAUUACAGGCUCAAAAUGUCCAGAAACAAAUAACUUUCUUCUGAAACUCGUCAGUCUAUUCUUGUUCUGAGAAAUGAAGGCUAUUCAAUGCGAGAAAUUUCCAAGAAACUGAAGAUCUCGUACCACGCUGUGUACUACUCCCUUCACAGACUGGUGCAAACUGGCUCUAACCAGAAUAUAAAGAGGAGCGGGAGGCCCCGGUGCACAACUGAGCAAGAGGACAAGUACAUUAGAGUGGCUAGUUUGAGAAACAGACGCCUCACAAGUCCUCAACUGGCAGCUUCAUUAAAUAGUACCCGCAAAACACCAGUCUCAACGUCAACAGUGAAAGAAACAAGCCUGAAACCUUGAACAAAGACUGUUGACAUCUAGUGGGAGCCAUAGUAAUUGCAAUCUGGGCGAUGGAUUUGGAUAUGCCCCUAUACUUUCCAUUGUAAGAGCAUGGGCUCUUAAAAAAAAGAAUUCUGGUUGUUUUUUCUUUGGAUUUUCUCCUACCAUAUCUAUUGUGUUAUAGUCUCAUGCAUUAUUUUUAACAUUUCUACAAACUUCAAAGUAUUUUCUAACCAAUGGUACCAAUUAUAUGCAUAUCCUGGCUUCAGGGCCUGAGUAACAGGCAGUUUACUUUGGGCACGUCAGUCAGGCGGAAAUGGAGAGAAAAGGACCCUAGCCUGAUUUUAAAAUGACAUUCAUAAAGUUACAAGCCAAGCCUUCGAUACUGGGUAAGCCUACAGGAUAGGGAGGGAUGUGUUUUCUGUUUGUCGAGAUUGACAUAGUUUAUUUAUUGUAUUGUUGCCUUCUCACCAAGCUGCUUGCCUAUUGUCCUGUAGCCCAUCCCAGCCUUGUGCAGGUCUACAAUUUUAUCCCUGAUGUCCUUACACAGCUCUCUGGUCUUGGCCAUUGUGGAGAGGUUGGAGUCUGUUUGAUUGAGUGUGUGGACAGGUGUCUUUUAUACAGGUAACGAGUUCAAACAGGUGCAGUUUUAAUACAGGUAUUGAGUGGAGAACAGGAGGGCUUCAGAAAAACUAACAGGUCUGUGAGAGCUGGAAUUCUAACUGGUUGGUAGGUGAUCAAAUACUUAUGUCAUGCAAUAAAAUGCAAAUGAAUUACUUAAAAAUCAUACAAUGUGAUUUUCUGGAUUUUUGUUUUAGAUUCCAUCUCUCACAGUUGAAGUGUACCCAUGAUAAAAAUGACAGACCUCAACAUGCUUUGUAAGUAGGAAAACCUGCAAAAUCGGCAGUGUAUCAAAUACUUGUUCUCCCCACUGUAUUUUAUAUAAUUACAAAUGUGGCAUCAACAUUUUUAAAAUCUGAUUCCCCCUAGCUGAUCAUUGUCUGCAACCAGCUCUGAUCGUGAAGUAAUGAAACAGGCAGGGCGAGUGAGCUCAUCUGUGGUGGUCAGCUAACUCUGAACCUUCAGACGUAGCCCUGCCUGGCAUCAACUGUGCCACAAUAGCAUGUUGCAAAGGUGAUAUCAACAUUUUAAAACGUAGGGUCGCUACAUUUAUUGUUAUUCGUGGUCGUAAACAUUAUAUUGAGUUUAUUACAAGGGGAGGGUCAUGUGAAAAUAUUUUUCAAUUUGGGGAGGGGGUGAUAUUUUUUAUGACAGCUUGAGUUGGACAAGCCCCCCCCUAAAUUAAAGAUUGAUUGAGGCUGCCUGCUCCCAUUUUGUGGGAAUCGGCUGUCUGAUGUCUUGUAUUUUCCAAACCAGACUGAGGUUAUUAUUUUGCCUCCUGGCGUGAAGCAAUACGAAUCUACAUCUUUAGGGGCCGAUGAAUAAACGAGAUGAUGAACGAGAACGAGGAAGUCGCGCUUGUGGGAUGGGGAGUUCACAAUAACAGCUGGACUGUCCACUAUAUCCACGCCCGCUUGUCAUUGAAUGACAGUCACUGAGCAGGAAGACAGAGAGAGGCGUCUCCACCGUGCGGCGCCACGAUCGAUGCGACACAGUACACCUGAGGAGUGAACCAUACCUGCGGAGAGUAGACUCUUCUCCAAAAGCAGCCCGCCAACAUGGGGUUAUCGCCUUCUAGUCUCCUAGAUGAACAUGGAUCCAACUACAUACGAGGUUGUGCAGAGGCGGAGUUGAAAGAGUUCAGUCCCCACUACAGGACACAGUACUCUGUGGUCUUCUUCUCCCAAAUCCAGGAUGAGCUGGAGCAGCCAAAAGAGAAAAUAAAACAGCUCCUCAAACAGAGGGGUCCUCCGGAGGCGGGGGAGGUGCUGUAUGAGGAACAAGUCCUUCAUUUUGAAGCAACCAGGAAGUGGGAAGAGAGGUACGUGGUGGUGCGUGGCAACUACUGUCUGGAGUGCCACAACAGCUUUGAGACCUUUGUGAAGGGUGUGCCCCCGCGCCACAAGCUGCUGCCAACAGGGGGCACAGUGCUUACCACAGAGGAGAAAUACAUGGCCAUGGUGGACAAAUGCUUCCCUUUUGCCCCUCCUAUAAUCGGCAUGCCUGGACAGUUCCCUGUGUACCUCAGGCUUCCGUACCGUAGGGAUUACUACUUCUGCUUCCGACAGGAUGCUCGCCAAGCUGAAUUCCUCUCCAUCCUCUCCGACUGCAUCCGCCACCAGAACCAAGACUUCCUAAAGAAGAAGACAGUUGAGGUGCAGGCCUUCCUCAAAGCAAUCCACCUCUAUAGACAGGAGAAGGGCAGCUAUGACUCCUGGAAAAUGCUGAUUGGCAGUGACGUCAGGGUAUUGGCCAACCUGGUUAUGGAGGAGCUGUUGCCCUCUUUGGAGAAGGACAUGCUUCCUCAUCUAAAAGCCAGGAAGACAGAGAGGAAGAGAGUGUGGUUCGCUGUGAUAGAAGCGGCCUAUUUCCUGGUGCAGGAGUGUCUAUUUAAGGGUAUGUCUGCUCUGAAGGAGGAGUGUAGGAAGGCAGCUCACCAGCAGGAGGUGCUGAUACGCUCUGAUAUGGACCAGAUCCUCAACUCCAGAACCUACCUGGAGGGAAAACUACGAGCUAGUGUAUUGGAGCCAGCAGAGAAGUUCUGUUCGGAGGGCGUGCAGCCCUACCUGGCCUCCGUACUGGAGGAGCUGAUGGGACCAAUCAGCUCAGGGUUCCAGGAAGCACGGCUCCUGAGUGACAGCCAGAUGGACCAACUGUGUCAGGACUUCCAGGAGGGCGGGGUUACCAAUGAACUCAAGCAGGCCCUAGCUAAACUGAGUAGGCCCAAUCUGUUGAGUUGUUACCAGAGGAUCAAUUCUCUCCACGACCAGCUGCACGACCUGCAGGAACGCUUUGGCUUCUCCAACAUCAGCAGCCUGGUCCACAGCACCCAGAUAGACCUACAGCAGCUGGUGGAGAAUGCAGCGUACACAUUUCAUCUGCUGCUCUACAAGGACAUAGAGGACAACCCAGGCAACGCAUGCUCUGCCAUGGAGAAGUCCAGGCACAGGGUGCUCAAGCAAUAUGACUAUGACAGCAGUACGGUGAGGAAAAGGAUCUUUCAUGAGGCCUUGGUGGGGAUCACUCUCCCUCACAUCAAGAAGACCCUGGCCCCCACUUACAAAACAGUGAUAUAUCAUUUGCUUUCAUUAUUUUACUGGACUGAUGGUAGGGUCCGCCUCUGCUUCGAACACACCGACUGUGUAAUUGCGUUUUGGUACACCAGAAGUACAUUCAUUUCCAAUGGAACGCUGAGUUUGCCUUGCAGCAUUUCGUUGCAGAGCCAGUUGCAGUGCGUUCGGUGUGAUACAUACGUUCGAUUUAUCGAAUAUAUGCAUCAAAUUGUAUGCGUAGACUUGACAGAAAGUAGCAAAAUGUGA